rnacentral:tRNA from 1 species
GCUUGGGUGGCUCAGUGGUUGAGCAUCUGGCUUCAGAUCAGGGCGUGAUUCUGGAAUCCUGGGAUCGAGUCCCACAUCGGGCU